rnacentral:lncRNA from 1 species
UUCACUGUAGCUGUGAAUGCUGCCCACUUGAUAGAAGCUGACAGAUUAGAAUCUGAGAGUUGCCCCGGACCUGCUGGCCAGUCCUUCUGUUACUCUCAAAUCCAUCCCCUUGCUCUUUAAACAAAGCUAACACUUUCGAUCCUCAAGGAAAGGCAGGCAUGAACUCUCUUCCGUUGGAGUGGACCUGAGUAUUGGUCAUAACUGAGAGGUGGGACCUCCUGUGUGUAAGAGGGCCCCUUCCUUCAGCACUGGCUAUGUCUUCCCACAGCCAACAGUUCCAGGCUCAGGUGGGGGAGGGGAGACAGAAGAGAAGGCUGCCACUUGGGAUCCUGUGUGUUCUUGCUGGCAUUGCAUGGCCCAGCCAUCUCAGGCUUGGCAUUUGCCAGUGAGAGGAGGUUGCUAUGGGGAUGGGUGAGGCCCAGAGCCCAUGGGUCUGGGUGGCCUGACUUGCUUUUGAAUGUUGAAGCCUGUGGACACAAGAGGGCCUUAUCUUCGCCUCGGUGGCUUUCUUCAAGCUUGGCUGAUAUUUUAGGGCCUGGGAAACAGCUGAUGGCGAAAUUGCAUCCUGGCUAUUUGGUCUUCCUGGGCAGAGUGAACAGUGGCUGCAGGUACCCAAGUGCACUGUGUUCAAACAAAAGCAUCAAGGAGAUUGAGGAACAUCUGCUGAGGGGGGACAGUUAGUUACAGAGCUGGUGUCCUGUCCUGUGCCAGCCUAGGACUGUGUCUCCCUCCCUCCUACCCCAGGAGAAGUAGAUUUACCUAUUUGCUUCCCACCCAAGACACACAGCCUCAUAUAAUAGAAACCCAAUGUCCUAAGUUUUGCAGCUUCUGCCAGCCACCUCCUUAGAUCGGGAGUGGGGUAUGGGUUGGGGGACGACAUAUAACAUCCAGGGAGUGCCUGCCAGCCCACCCACUCAUCCCUCAUCUUUCUCAAGGUUUGUUAUUAUUGUUGUUACUUCUAUUUUUCCCACUAGACCAGAGUGUUUUAUGUGUGUACUUCUCAGCCUAUGCUGAAAGUGAAACAGUAUUUCAGUGUUGUGUACACAUGCAUGGUACGUCCAUGUGUGCGUGCAUGCAACAAAACAAAUAACAAACGAAACCCAUUGUGUGGCGCAUGCCUGUAACCCCAGCAGCGUUCAGGAGGCUGAGGCAGGAGGAUCACCACAAGUUUCAGGCCAGCCUAAAUAUGUGUCACUAAGCUACAGUCAGCCUGUCUCACAGAGAGAAAGCAAGCCGAGGAAAUGACUGAAGACUGUCAAUGGUGGACGAGAGUGCUUGGUGUUGAGCUCCUGAGGGCAGUGGCAGAAUUGCGUGGAGUCCUUCUCCACAGAGAUGUGCAGUCACAUCACCGGGCAUCCUUGGAAGAGCCAGGUCAAGCGCCUGCCUAGAAUUCCCCAGGUGAUUCUGGCGCCACCCCAUGUGCAGCCAGGAACUGGUGACUCGGUCAGGCAGGUGGCAGGUGGCAGCUCUAGGACUUCCUGCUUCUUGCUUGCUACAUUUCUAUUAUGCCACCAUCCUUCCCUGAAAUAGCCGUUGUUUUUCCAGAACAACAGAAAGUAGGAAAGAAAGACCUCGCCCCUUUCCCAGACCUCCUCCACUCCCCAGCACCCACCUCAGUCCCUCUGGGUUUGGCAAUUGAGGCUACUUCAAGUCCAUACUCUUCAAGUUCCAAAACCGGGCUUGGUGGCACAUGCCUGUUUGAGUUUGUUACUGUUCGAGGUGCAAACAGGAAGCACUGACGCUCAGGGUCAUCCUUAGCUACAUAGAAAGUCUAUACCCUAGGCUUCAUGAAAGCCUCUUUUCGAUUCCCACCCCCACCCAUUCCCUCCCUCCCCCAUCCCACCUCCUCAUCCCCACCCUUGCCAAGUACAAAGAAAGCCCUACCUGGCUGAGUUCACCUGCUUGCUACGUGAAAAGCAUUUUGUCCUUC